rnacentral:rRNA from 1 species
UACGAGGGGAGCUAGCGUUGUUCGGAAUUACUGGGCGUAAAGGGCGUGUAGGCGGUACCCUAAGUCAGAUGUGAAAGCCCUAGGCUUAACCUAGGAGGUGCAUUUGAUACUGUGGAACUAGAGAUCGAGAGAGGUAAGUGGAAUUACGAGUGUAGAGGUGAAAUUCGUAGAUAUUCGUAAGAACACCAGUGGCGAAGGCGACUUACUGGCUCGAUACUGACGCUGAGGCACGAAAGCGUGGGGAGCAAACAGG